rnacentral:rRNA from 1 species
GACGAACGCUGGCGGCGUGCCUAAUACAUGCAAGUAGAACGCACAGUUUAUACCGUAGCUUGCUACACCAUAGACUGUGAGUUGCGAACGGGUGAGUAACGCGUAGGUAACCUGCCUGGUAGCGGGGGAUAACUAUUGGAAACGAUAGCUAAUACCGCAUAAUAUUAAUUAUUGCAUGGUAAUUAAUUGAAAGGUGCACUUGCACCACUACCAGAUGGACCUGCGUUGUAUUAGCUAGUAGGUGAGGUAACGGCUCACCUAGGCGACGAUACAUAGCCGACCUGAGAGGGUGAUCGGCCACACUGGGACUGAGACACGGCCCAGACUCCUACGGGAGGCAGCAGUAGGGAAUCUUCGGCAAUGGACGAAAGUCUGACCGAGCAACGCCGCGGGAGUGAAGAAGGGUUUCGGAUCGUAAAGCUCUGUUGUAAGAGAAGAACGGGUGUGAGAGUGGAAAGUUCACACUGUGACGGUAUCUUACCAGAAAGGGACGGCUAACUACGUG